CACCACGCCGCUCUGCGCGCUCACCGACACGUAGGACGCCAGCGCCCGUGGCUCCAGGUCGCUGGCCACGAUGGAGUAGGAGACGCGGCCGUUGGGCCCCAGGUCGGGGUCGGAGGCGCUGACUUGGGCGAUGGAGGCUGCAGGAGGGUUGUUUUCGGCCACGUGGACCACGUAGGAGGCCUGCUGGAAAACUGGCGCGUUGUCGUUGACGUCGGUGAUGUGCAGAGUGAUGCUUGAACUGGAAGAGAGGGGCGGCUUUCCCCUGUCGGUGGCUGUAAUAGUGACAUUAUAGGAAGAGGUCUUCUCCCGGUCCAGGGCCCCAUCUGUUACAAGCUUGUAGUAAUUAUUGGCAGAAGAUUCAAUUUUGAAAGGAACUUUUUCUUUUAUGAGGCAUGUGACCUCUCCGUUUUCUCCCGAAUCUUUGUCAUGUGUUUUGAACAGAGCAAUCACCAUCCCGUGUUCUGUGUCCUCGGUUAUGGAACUAGACACUGAAGUGAAAAUAACCUCCGGGGCAUUGUCAUUCUCAUCUAAAAUUUCUACUAUAAUUUUACAUUCAGUGGCCAUGCCUCCACCAUCCUUGGCUUCUAUGUUAAUGGUAUAACUUCUACUGAUUUCGAAGUCUAUGGGACCUUUGGAUUUAAUUUCUCCACUUUGAUGGUCUAGUAUAAACAUAUUUCCAAUAUCUCUUAAUGUUUUGAAGGAGUAGGUGAUCUCUGCAUUGAUGCCCUCAUCUUGGUCGAUGGCUGUCACCUUGAGUACAGAGGUGCCUGAGGCCACCUAAAAGACUUGUGCAGCGAUACUAACAACUGGGAGGCAGAUAAUCUCACCUGAUUAUUCGUAGAGUCCGGAUUGCCUAAAUCAGCCGCUGAAUUUUCAGUAAUCAAGAGUGGCUCGCUUUUCCCACAGCUGUACUGGCUGAGGAGCGUGUCCGCAUAGUUGGGCUGCGGGAAGAUCACGUGACUCUCCCGCGAGCCCGCGGUCAGGGACACCUCGUGAGAAUAGGUCUGCAGGAACGCCCGCACCCCGUCCACGCCCACAAACUGCGAGGCCGAGGCCGGCGCGCCCAGCAGCCCUCCUCCUGCAGCCUGGAGCAGACGCGACGCGUGCCAGCGCCUCAGCCUGAGCGCCAGCAGCACGAUGACAAAGGCGAGGAAGACGCAGGAGACUGCGGCCACUGCCACCACCAGCUCUCCUGGCUGAGGAGCGUGUCCACAUAGUUGGGCUGCGGGAAGAUCACGUGACUCUCCCGCGAGCCCGCGGUCAGGGACACCUCGUGAGAAUAGGUCUGCAGGAACGCCCGCACCCCGUCCACGCCCACAAACUGCGAGGCCGAGGCCGGCGCGCCCAGCAGCCCUCCUCCUGCAGCCUGGAGCAGACGCGACACGUGCCAGCGCCUCAGCCUGAGCGCCAGCAGCACGAUGACAAAGGCGAGGAAGACGCAGGAGACUGCGGCCACGGCCACCACCAGAAUCCUGGUCCUGUGUUUUGAAGAGAGCCACGACCAUUCCUGGAAGAGAAUCCUCCAAAAUUUCAUCAGAGAGAGAAGUGAUGAUUAUUUCCGGGUCAUUAUCGUUUUCAUCUAGGAUUUCUAUGAUUACUUUACAUUGGGUAGAGAGACCACCUCCAUCCCUUGCCUCCACUUCCAUGGUGUAUCUUUCUGUAUCUUCAAAAUCCAAUGGCUGGUUAUUCUUAAUCGUACCUGUUUUCUCAUCCAGUGAGAACAUGUGCCUUGUACUCUGAGCAGUGCUCCUGAAAUAGUAGUUUACUUCUGCAUUGAUGCCCUCAUCUUUGUCAGUGGCUGUCACCUGCAACACAGAGGAUCCGGGGGGCAGAUUCUCACUAACACUGAUAGUAUAUUCAUUUUUGCUAAACACUGGGAAGUUAUCAUUGGCAUCCCUGACAAAGAUUUCUAUUGCAGUGGUGGCACUUUUUGAUGGGUUCCCCCCAUCCAAGGCAGUCAGUAUCAAGCGAUGAGAACGCUGUUCUUCACGGUCUAGGAGCUUCUCCAAAGAUAACUCUGGGUAUUUACCACCAUCAGAAUUAACUCUAACCAUUAAUGAGAAAUAAGGGUUAGGAUUUAUCUGAUAAUCUUUAACUGAGUUCGUGUUUAUAUCGGGGUCAGUGGCAGGGUCAAGAGAUAUUCGUGCACCUUCGGAUACAGAUUCACUGAUUUCAAAGUUUAUUUCAUCUUUAUGGAAUUGAGGGGCAUGGUCGUUAAUAUCCUCAACAACCACAAUGAUAUGAAAAAUAUUUAAAGGAUUUUCCACCACGGCUUCCAACUGCAACUCACAUCUUCUUCUCUCUUUGCAUAUCUGCUCACGGUCUAUUCGGUCUUUCACAAGUAAGUCCCCACUCUCUGCGUCUACGUAGAAAAGCAGCUUCUCCGCACUAACUCGCAGCUUCCGAGCCGACACAUCCAGGACGCUGAGCCCAAGAUCCUUGGCGAGGUUCCCCACCACCGAGCCCUUGGCUAGUUCCUCGGGAAUCGAGUAGCGGAUGGGCUCGCAGAUCGCGGGGUAGAACAAAGGUAGCAGGAAGGGAAACAGUACUUGCCGCCUGCCGGCUGGCCGCCUCCGAACACAGCUCCCUCCCAUUGCGUGCUCUAGUUCUCGCUGGGUCCCAGUCUUUCCGGAAAGCUGAAGAAACUGCAAUCCGCGGCGUCACUAGAAGAACAUUCCGCCCAUGACAGGCGGCGCUGGGAAUUCGUGGAUGUUGGGCAGUCUGCGCGGCCCGGAGUCUCAGUGUGUGAGCGGGUUUCCUUCCGUAUGUGUUGGUGACUGCGCAGGAAAGCCCAGGCUGGAGACUGAGGAAUCCCGAACGACUGCGCUUGCCCUGUACUGGCCGACAGCGGCGCCCAGAGGCCCCGUGUGGAACCGCAGUCUGGUUCCUCGAAUCCAAUUUUUCUCUAGAAUAUCUCUAGAAUAUUUAUAUAGCUCUUCGAAAUUCCUAUAUAUUUCUAUAUAGGCCCUAUACUCUGAGAAGUGCUCCUGAUGUAAUAUUUUACUUCUGCAUUGGCCUACUUAUCCCAGUAAGUGGCUUUACUGCAACACCGGUGAGCUGGGAGCUGAUUGUAUAUAGAGAGAAAUAGAGAAAUGUAUACGAAAGAAAUAUGUGUGUGUGCAGAGAGAGAGGAUAUGUAUAUAUUGCUCUUUGAAAAUGCACUUAUAUAAUAGCUCCAAAUUUUAGUUUUACUGAAGUAUUACAGCAUAUAUACUUAGUUUUUUUUUUAAAAAAAAGAUUUUAUUGACUCAUGAAAGACACAGAGAGAGGCAGAGACACAGGCAGAGGAAGAAGCAGGCUCCCUGAAGGGAGCCCAAUGCAAGACUCUAUCCC